GAUGAAGAACGCAGCGAAAUGCGAUAAGUAAUGUGAAUUGCAGAAUUCAGUGAAUCAUCGAAUCUUUGAACGCACCUUGCGCCCCUUGGUAUUCCGAGGGGCAUGCCUGUUCGAGCGUCAUUACACCACUCAAGCUAUGCUUGGUAUUGGGCGUCGUCCUUAGUUGGGCGCGCCUUAAAGACCUCGGCGAGGCCACUCCGGCUUUAGGCGUAGUAGAAUUUAUUCGAACGUCUGUCAAAGGAGAGGAACUCUGCCGACUGAAACCUUUAUUUUUCUAGGUUGACCUCGGAUCAGGUAGGGAUACCCGCUGAACUUAAGCAUAUCAAUAAGCGGAGGA
rnacentral:misc_RNA from 1 species